rnacentral:rRNA from 1 species
GGAACUCAAAGGAAUUGACGGGAGCCUACAACGAGUGGUGGAGCAUGUGGUUUAAUGCGAUAAUCCGCGCAAAACCUUACCAACCCUUGACAUAUUGAAAAAAAAUUUGAGUUUAUACGAAUUUUUUAUUAUUAAUUGACAAAUUAGUUAAUUUUCACUACAGGUGUUGCACGACUGUCGUCAGCUCGUGUCGUAAGAUGUUUGGUUCAUUCCUUUAACGAGCGCAACUCUUAUUUUUAAGAAUUUACUUUCAAUUUACAAUGUCUACAAUCAUCAUUUGUAGGCAUCGUAAAUUAUGCUUUAAAAAGACUGUGAAAAAAAAUUUCAUAGGAAGGUGAGAGUUAAGUCAAGUCACUGUGGCCCCUAUGGGUUGGGCUACACACGUGCUACAAUGAAAAUGACAAAAAGUACAAAAAUAAAAACUUUUAGUUAAUCUUUAAAAAUUUUCCUAGUUCGAAUUGUAAACUGCAACUCGUUUACAUGAAGGUGGAAUCACAGGUAAUCGCAAAUCAGGACGUUGCGGUGAAUACGUACCUUGGCUUUGUA